UGGGGAAUAUUGGACAAUGGGCGCAAGCCUGAUCCAGCCAUGCCGCGGGAGUGAUGAAGGCCCUAGGGUUGUAAAGCUCUUUCACCGGUGAAGAUAAUGACGGUAACCGGAGAAGAAGCCCCGGCUAACUUCGUGCCAGCAGCCGCGGUAAUACGAAGGGGGCUAGCGUUGUUCGGAUUUACUGGGCGUAAAGCGCACGUAGGCGGACUAUUAAGUCAGGGGUGAAAUCCCGGGGCUCAACCCCGGAACUGCCUUUGAUACUGGUAGUCUUGAGUUCGAGAGAGGUGAGUGGAAUUCCGAGUGUAGAGGUGAAAUUCGUAGAUAUUCGGAGGAACACCAGUGGCGAAGGCGGCUCACUGGCUCGAUACUGACGCUGAGGUGCGAAAGCGUGGGGAGCAAACAGG
rnacentral:rRNA from 1 species